UCCGCUGCAAAAUGAUCCGCAAUAAUGAUCAAUUAGAGAUGCGCGACAAUCGCCGAAUUAUUCGCUCAAGGUUCGGUAUAAUAGCUUACGUGUAUUGCGGCAUGUCGGGGCCCUUCUCCUGGAGAACGCGUCUGGAAAAAAAAAAAAAAAGAUGGAACGAAUCGCUAUUUGUUCCGAGUUAUCAUGUGGAAACGAGCCAUCAAUCACGAAUAUUAAACAGCUAAAAUAAUUUCGAUGGAUAAAGAACAAAAGGGGAACGAAAAUUGGUGGCAUUGUACGUAUAUCGGUACGUGCGAUUGGAGGUAAAAAAAAAAAAAAUAAGAUAAAUAAAUAAAUAUAAAGCGCAGUUGAAACAGUAUAAUACAAAGUGAACGAUGAAAAAGUAAAAGGAACGAAGAACAAAGCGAAGCAUUCAGAUACGAAUCUAACUACGUUAAACUACCUCGUGCCCUCGUCACACAUCACUCUCAACCAUGCUAAAUAAUAAACGCGGAACGAGAAUGUUAGUGCGGCCGAAGUUACUCAUUCUGACAACACUUUUCGAUGAUUACUCUCUCCUUUGAAAAUUCGUCGCAACGCCUCGCGAGAUCUCGAUGCACGGGAUAUCUAUAUCGAGGAAAAUCUACAGGGUAUAUAUACGUUUUAACCAAAUAUUUUUCCAUUUGUUUUAUUUCCGAUCGGUUGACAAAGAUUCGUUCGAAGAUAUUAUUUGUGAAGAGAGAUUUGAAAAUAUAUCGUGAAUAUCGUUAAAACGUACACCCUAUAUAAUAGCAUUUGUAUAGAAGGCAUAAAUCGUUCUCGUUUUAAGCGCAUUCCAUCGAGAAUCUCGACGAGACGGCGAGUCCGAAUUUUCGAUUCGAAGCUUCGCUUUUUCCAAAGGAAAAAUAAUUAAUACACGAACAAUGUCGAUGAACAAUAGCGGAAUCGGUUAUUCGGUCGCGCUCGCGCGCUCAGAAUGACUAACCUCGUCGAUUAGGUCAUGUUAGUCACCUCUGCGUGAUCUCAGUGUGCGUUAUGCUGUGCUCCUGUCUCUCGACGAUUCGACGAUUCACCAGCCUGGCAUUAAUAAUUUCGUUCCGAUUAAUAUACGGGUGCCGGGGUUACGUGCAUCCUAGGCCAUUACCGAGGAAACGAGUUUCGCCAAUUGGCCGACGUUACGUUUUUUUGCAAUAGCCGUGUAAAGUAGAGAGAGAAGAGAAGAGAGGGGGGGGAAAAGCGGAGUUCACCGACGAUUCCCCUCGUUCGGAGAAGGAAGGAAAAGAGUAAUAGAGCGAAAGAGAACGUAUUAUUCGGUUACGAGGCUCUCCUCGACAGAGAAACUCGAGUAGAGAAAGACACUUACAGACAGGAGUCAACCAGCUGAUUAUUUGACAUACCAGCUGAUUUUUCGUCUCUUGCCGCUCAGCAGUCGAUGACGUCCCCUGGAAUCACAUUAAAA